rnacentral:misc_RNA from 1 species
GCGGACGGUGGACGCGGAUAGCUCCGCUUGCAUCCUCGUGCGAGCUAAUUGCGGCUUUGAGAGUCUGAAACGCGAAGGUUUCGCCAGUUGCCUAGGAUUACCCGACUCAGAGCUCUCGUGUCUUAAAGGGAUAUAAUCAGAAAGAGGAACGGGGGUAAUACGUCUGCGAAGUUGGCGAGCGACCGAAGGAACGAUCAUCAGGACGGCAGGAGGAAAGGACAGGGAACGAAAAGGACGGACGAGGGACUGCGACUUUUAAGAGACUGCGAACACGGAGGUCCUGCUGCGAACGCGAGCUACCCGCGUCUGGGUGGCGCGUACGCGAUAUGGGUGCAACUUGUAAUGGGGCAACUUGUCAGCUACCGCGGCUCGUCCGUCAGAGGACGAAAGGUAUACCCGGUUCCACUACUCGCCAAGAUAGGAAAUGACGCUCGAUAGCAGGCGACCACGCUUCCCUUUUCCUAGAGAACUACGAUCCGUGCUCCGCUUCGCGCCGCUCUGAGCUCCGUAUUCGUGCCGAAGACAACUGAUGGUACGAGGAAUCGGAGCUUGAUAUCCCGGACACGUAGACGUGCGAGGCGCCGAGAGAGAAAGAGAAGAAAUACCAGCACAAGCUGUGAGAAAACGUGAAGCCGCUAUCGCGAGACUCUAACGAGAACUCUCAUCGUACUUCACCCUUUUUUAAAGCACGAGUUGUUCGCCGCCGCUGUUAACAAACAAUGUUACUAAUCUUCAAUGUACAAUCAAAGAUUGAGUUGUCGUCAGAAUUGUAAUUAGGUGAUGUAAUUGUAGAAAAAAAAGAUAUUAAGAUAACGAUUGAGA